UACGUAGGUGGCAAGCGUUGUCCGGAAUUAUUGGGCGUAAAGCGCGCGCAGGCGGCCUCUUAAGUCUGAUGUGAAAUCUUGCGGCUCAACCGCAAGCGGCCAUUGGAAGCUGGGGGGCUUGAGUACAGAAGAGGAGAGUGGAAUUCCACGUGUAGCGGUGAAAUGCGUAGAUAUGUGGAGGAACACCAGUGGCGAAGGCGACUCUCUGGUCUGUAACUGACACUGAUACGCGACAGCAUGGGGAGCGAACGGG
rnacentral:rRNA from 1 species